rnacentral:rRNA from 1 species
AAUGAUAAUUAGUGAAGAAAAUUUUAAUGCUUGUACCUUUUGUAUUAUGGUUCAACAAGGUUAUGAAAAUAGUAUUUUAUAGCCCGAAGCUGGGUGAGCUAAUGUACUCUGCUUUUGAGAGGAAAAAUUUUUACUGUUGCAAUAGUAAGGUUUGAGGGUACGUUAGUUGUGAAAUGUUUAUCGCGCUCAGGGAUAGCUGGUUUUCCUAGAAAUAAGUGUAAGCUUAGUACAUGUUUUUAUUACAGUUGUAGUUACUUUUAAGUAAAAUAGUUUGGUUGUAAUAAUUAAUAUGUUUGUAAGACAGAAAGGGAUAAGCUUUUCUGUCAAUAAAGAAAAAGCUUUUGUUAUUAAUAAAAGGUAAUUCUCAUGAAAAUGUAUUAAAGUGUUAAUAAGAAGUAGGAUUAAUGGCAUCUAACUUUGUAGAAAGCGUUAAAGCUUAUUUAUAUAGAAUUAAUACAAAAAAUUUUUAGAAGUGGUACUUUAGUUUGUAAAAGUUUAUAGGAAAAUUCCAUUGGUUUGGAAGUUAUAAUGUUGAAAUUAGUAGAGAAUAAGGUUGGCAUUAUUUGUGGGUUAAUCAAUCCUAAUAUUAGAUGGAACAAUAGUUUAUUAAUCGAGAAGUUAGUUUGUUAAAUUGUCUACUAACACAAGUGAUGUGAAGAAUAAGUUAAAUUAAGAGAAAGGAAUUCGGCAAAUAAAGAUUUCGCCUGUUUACCAAAAACAUCGCUCUUUGUAAAGAACCUGAUAUAUAAAGAGUCCUGCCUGCCCAGUGACUUAGUUAAACGGCCGCGGUAUAUUGACCGUGCGAAGGUAGCAUAAUCAUUUGCCUCUUAAAUAGGGGCUGGAAUGAAUGGCAAGACGGGAAUUAAGCUGUCUCUCUCUUAUGUCUUUAAGUUAAUAUCUUUGUGAAGAAGCAAAGAUGGAGUCGCAGGACGAGAAGACCCUAUCGAGCUUUAGUAGAAAAUAGAUAUAGUUACAAAUAGUGUUUUAUUACUAAUUAGUCAUUAUGAAUAGUCUGAGUAAUUUUAUUAUUAAAAGUGCUGGUACUGUGUAUAUUAUACUUGGGUUGGGGCAACCGCGGAGUAUAAAGAUCCUCCGUUAGUUUUGUUAGGAAAAGAUUUUUUCUAAUAUGAAAGAUUUUAUUUAAUAGUGAUCCACUUUAAUAGUGAACAUAAGAAUAAGUUACCGUAGGGAUAACAGCGUAAUUUUUUUGGAGAGUUCAUAUUGAUAAAAAAGUUUGCGACCUCGAUGUUGGAUCGGGAUUUCCAAGGGAUGCAGCAGUUCCUAAUG